rnacentral:rRNA from 1 species
UACGAAGGGGGCUGGCGUUGCUCGGAAUCACUGGGCGUAAAGGGUGCGUAGGCGGGUCUUUAAGUCAGGGGUGAAAUCCUGGAGCUCAACUCCAGAACUGCCUUUGAUACUGAAGAUCUUGAGUUCGGGAGAGGUGAGUGGAACUGCGAGUGUAGAGGUGAAAUUCGUAGAUAUUCGCAAGAACACCAGUGGCGAAGGCGGCUCACUGGCCCGAUACUGACGCUGAGGCACGAAAGCGUGGGGAGCAAACAGG